CCUACGGGAGGCAGCAGUGAGGAAUAUUGGUCAAUGGGCGGAAGCCUGAACCAGCCAAGUAGCGUGCGGGAUGAAGGCCCUACGGGUCGUAAACCGCUUUUGCACGGGGAUAACACCCUCCACUUGUGGUGGGCUGCAGGUACCGUGCGAAUAAGGGCCGGCUAAUUCCGUCCCAGCAGCCGCGGUAAUACGGAAGGCCCGAGCGUUAUCCGGAUUCAUUGGGCUUAAAGGGAGCGUAGGCGGGCGUUCAAGUCAGCAGUAAAAUCGCGCGGCUCAACCGCGCCCCGCAGUUGAAAAUGGACGCGUUGAGUUCACAACGGGCAGGCGGAAUUCGUGGGGGAGCGGUGGAAUGCA
rnacentral:rRNA from 1 species